rnacentral:tRNA from 1 species
GGAGGAUUAGCUCAGCUGGGAGAGCAUCUGCCUUACAAGCAGAGGGUCGGCGGUUCGAGCCCGUCAUCCUC